GAUGAACGCUAGCGGCAGGCCUAAUACAUGCAAGUCGAGGGGCAGCACGAUCUUCGGAUUGGUGGCGACCGGCGCACGGGUGCGUAACGCGUAUGCAACCUACCCUAUACUGAGGGAUAGCCCGGAGAAAUUCGGAUUAAUACCUCAUGGUAUCAUUUGAAGGCAUCUGAAGAUGAUUAAAGAUUUAUCGGUAUAGGAUGGGCAUGCGUGACAUUAGUUAGUUGGUGAGGUAACGGCUCACCAAGGCGACGAUGUCUAGGGGUUCUGAGAGGAUGAUCCCCCACACUGGCACUGAGAUACGGGCCAGACUCCUACGGGAGGCAGCAGUAGGGAAUAUUGGUCAAUGGGCGAGAGCCUGAACCAGCCAUGCCGCGUGCAGGAAGACGGCCUUCUGGGUUGUAAACUGCUUUUAUCAGGGAACAAAAAGGCACUGCGGUGCAAAUUGCGUGUACCUGAAGAAUAAGCACCGGCUAACUCCG
rnacentral:rRNA from 1 species